rnacentral:rRNA from 1 species
GUGCCAGCAGCCGCGGUAAUACGUAGGGGGCAAGCGUUGCUCGGAAUUACUGGGCGUAAAGGGAGUGCAGGCGGCCGGUUAAGUCAAAGAUGAAAUCCCGAGGCUUAACUUCGGAAUGGUCUUUGAUACUGAUCGGCUUGAGGCUGGUUGAGGAGAGCGGAAUUCCCGGUGGAGCGGUGAAAUGCGUAGAUAUCGGGAGGAACACCAGAGGCGAAGGCGGUUCUCUAAACUAGUCCUGACGCUGAGACUCGAAAGCUAGGGGAGCAAACGGGAUUAGAAACCCCCGUAGUCC